UAGUAUUUAUCGCAGUUAGAAAUUAAACAUUUCUGUGAGUACCAUGAGUACUUAAAACGUUACUUAUGUACUGAAGUCCCACGUUACUCAAGAAGUUAAACAUUAAAAUGAAAGUAAUUUGUUGAGUCUGGGUGUCUCCUGAGUUUGAAGGCAGCCAAAUUCCUAAAGUGAUAGAGAAGAACAGGAAGGCUUCUUAGGACCAACUCUCUCAUCUGUGUUAUUAAUUUGCCAGUAAAAAUAUUCAAGAAAAGUUGAAAUCGUAUUAAAAGUUAGAAAGGCAUAUUUAUGAAGGCUAAAUUUUUAGCUUCCGAGCUAACCUUCUAGGCUAUCUGGAAAUGAAAAUGUUUUGGAGAACGAAUGCUACUGAUCUGCUGCCCUUUUAUCUUCUGCUUCUGUACAAAGGCUCAAAGAGGUCCUCUAGUGAAAGACGCUUCUUCUGAGUGCUGUUUUCAGCCAGCUCUUUGCACGGUAAUUCUGAUGGGCCUGCAAAAGCUGUCUUCAGCUUCUCUUUAAAAGUUGCUGUACAUCCUUUCAGUGUUUUUAAGAAAAGAAGGAGCAUCUGUGUCAGCUGGAAAGCACGAGAAAUACAUGGACUCACCAUGGGGAGAUACACGUUCCUGAGAUCUCACUUUGUAUCUGAUGUCUGCUUGACACUAAACUGUUGCUAUGCUGAUUCCACUCCAUUUGGCUGUUCAUUGCGAUGAAUAUAUGGGGGCUGUAUUUCCAAAUGUCCUGGGCACCCACAGCACUAAGAUCUGACCACCAGCUAGAUCCACCAGGCCUUGGAGUCCCUUGUAAAGCUAUGCUGAGAUGUUUGACAGAGAAUCUCAUCCUGACAAAACCCCAAGUCCCUGCAGAGUUACUACAGGGUGAGAAGAAACCUGAUGUGGAGGUGUUAAAGCAUCAUCGCUUUUGAAACUGCCUCUGGUGUGUGAGCUGAUGGGAGACCAAAAGCCUCUUCAACAUCUGACUAUUCCCUGCCUCUGCUUACUUGUCCACUUGAACCAGUUAUCUACGGGAGUCCUUAAUGUACCGGGAUGACCUAAAAAAGUGAUACUGCAAAACAAGAAAAUGGAAGUGUGCAACUCUCAAUGAGGACAGCUGGCAUCCCUCCUUUUCCCAUGAAAUGAGGCACACCUGGUAAAAGUGUUGCGCAUUCUGGGCCUGUGAUGAUCUGCAACCCCCUCAGUCUUCUGAAAGACCCAGUUCACUGCUGAGGUGCUCCUUGUGUCACCAUCUGCAUGGCCAUGAGCUGGGAAGGAGCUGAUCUUCUGAGCUGUGGGCAGCUCUACCUGUCUACAGAGCUAAAAGAGAAUGAAGUGCUGAUAAAAUGAAGCUGCAACCAUGGGCUAGGUCUCCAGAGAAGACAUCUCAGUAAAACCCAACAGUUUAAGCAAAAAAAAAAAAAAAAAAAAAAAAAAGACAACAAUGAAUAUGACAAUAGUAUACCAAAAAUCACCCAACGCCUUUAGAAUUAUAAUGAAUAAAGGAGACGUGGCUGGACUAGUCCAAGAAGAAAUGACAAAGUUAAGUAUAGCUGCCUUUAUUUGAAGAUUAAAUUCUUCUUUCUCAGAACAGAUCUGAAAAAAUUAUCAGCCCUUGUUAUCAAAGUAUCACUAUCACAGUGAAACUUGGUGACGUUACGUUUCUGGCCUGAUUGUGGUACAGCUCUUUUAGCAUUAUAUGGCGUUUGGGAGAAUCUGAUCUCAGCACACAGUGGGCAGCAGUGCCUCAGUGACUUUUGCUUCUUAUUCUCUGCUGCUAGCCCUGCCCUGACUACAGGGCUGAUCACUGCAGUCAUCCUCAGACAGAUACCCCACUCUCUGACUUCGGAGUACCCACCUUAAAGCCUUUCAGUGUGUGGAAAUCUAAACUCUGUUCACACUCUUGCAUCACUGUUCAGGAUUUGUAUAAAAGCAAAAGCAGUUUUCUUUCACCUUUGUUGCGUUCACAUUGUCUUCCACACCAAAUCCUUCUGGAAAAAGUGCCUGUUUUAAGUUUCUUGUGUUUUAUUGAGAGGUUGUGGUUUCUGUAGCAUUUCUGUUUCUAGCAGCGUGAGCCCGUGGACUAACCCCAGAUGUGUUCAUGGUUCUUCUCCAAAUUAAGCUAUGAGUGCGUGGAAUAGUUCAGGAUAUUAUGCAUCUCAUAAUGGAUAAAUAUAUGGGAUUCCUGCCAAAUUAGGGUGGCUCAGAAGCUGCAGCCCCAGUAGAAGAAGUAAAUCAGUUAGGAAGGUAAUGACUGCCUCACACGAUAUGCAUUCAGAACUUGGUGCAUAGACAAACAAGUUCAAGGAAUUGCACUCAUUUCCUUUGCUACUUUAUUUGAUUGUGCAGCAAGGGAGAGAGAAUGAGGUAACUUCAUUUGCAUUAAAAUUAUGAUCUCUGUUUUUCAAACCACUAACAGUCACAAAAGAUCAGGAAUAUAUACAAAACAUCCUAUUUAGGUGUUUUAUUUGCAAUGCUGUUUUUCAUCAGUUAUUAAUGCCAGCUAGAUCACAUUCCAUCGACAGAGUGUAGAAGUGACGGAUAACAAGCAGACAUUUAAGACGUGAUCCUAAAGAUACUGUACAGGCUGGUUUUACUGUGUGAUAGCCAACAGCUGCAAGGCCAGAAAAAUGUUAGGACUAACAGAACUGGAGCUGGACCCCUGCUAAUAGUCUGUAUGGGAGAAGAAGUGUUUGCAGCCCCACGCUUAUAAAAAGCAAUUAAGUCAGAGGCCAGAGAUGGUACAAGAGCAGAUUACAAAUCAUGCGAUUUUAAACCAGAUCACCUCUGAGAUUUUUAUAUUUGAUUUUCUGUGGAAGCCUUUAGGCUGUGCAUUUUCCACUUAUCUUCCUAAGCCACAGGAGCUUGGAAACUUGUAUUUUGUUUCCCAAGUGAAAGCUGAGAUGAUUAUGUACAGACAUGAGUUAGGAGCUCAGACUGCAGAAGGAAUGCCAAAUAUUUUGCAGAGCCACUACUGAGAGCUUAAAAACAGUUUGCUUCUUGUACUGCUUUUUCUUAAGUAUUCACAUAAUCAAAGUAUAGGCUUAAGUGACGUGGGUUGGAUAAAUCCAAAUACACGAGUAUUUGGCUGAGCGCUUAUUGGUGAUACAAUGAAGUCAAGACUAAGAGCUGCCACUAUGGACAGCACCGUCUCUUGGCUAAUAAACAUCUCAUUGGCUCCUGCACAAUUUUUUUCAAGUACAAAUGCAGCCAGCUUUGUUCUUGUCUGAAUAGCACCUCUUUUCCCUUCGUUUGACUUACAGCUGUGUCAGAAAGGGUUUAAAACAAGUUUUGUGUGGGGUCAUACUUACUUUGAGAGGUUGUUGGACUCAUUUGCUCUGUGGGCCCUCUGAUGUAUGGAGAUAUCUGUGCAGCAGUGUCAGAAGCAGAGAUGGACACCACCUUGGACAAGUAGAUGCAAGAAGUGCCAUUCUGGUCCAUAGGGAUGUUCACAUGGAUCAAGAAGAACAUUCUAGCUUCUCAGGGGAGACUCAGCGUUCACACAACGCAGAGCCUGUGAAAUCAGUGUCCCCUCAGAGCAGGAAUAUUGUCCUCCCACUUUGGCUUCUCUAGGAGUCUUCUCUGAAAACGUACCUACUGUCUUCUUGAAUUUUGUGAGACUGAGUUUGGGCACUCUUGCAAUUCACACCUACCAUGGAAACUUACGGUGUGGAAAGAUUUUGAAUAUUUGCCUGCACCCCAGACUUUUUUUGUUUGUUUCUUCUGAUAAUCAGUAUAUAACAACAGUACUCAUUUUAAAGUCUGUUUUGAAAUUUCCCUCCCCACCUUUCUCACCAUGGUACUACAGUGCUGCAGAUGUAGUGUUAUUGGUGCUACAGUGACUCCACAGCAGUUUCUGCAUCAAAGGAAAACAGGGCCCGAAUCAUGGCAGGAGGAAGAGCUGAAACACUAGAAACUCUCUCUGCAAAGGAAGGCCCUCUCCUCAUGACAAGGUUCUCCAUCACUGGAAUGAUACUAAGGAACAAAAUUCAGAUUUUCUUCUAUUAAACGCACUGAACUACAGUGAACUGAUGCCCAGCACUGAAGCAGCUUUACAGAGCUGUCAGGCACAAGCUUCCAUUAUUUGAGCAUACCAGGCUGGAGGAAUCCUUCGUGCGUUUUGGCACUGCUAGACCUUGUCAUCUCCUCAGUAUGAGAACAAGAAAAUGGGGAUGUAGUCAUAAGAAGACAGCAGCUGCCAGUAACAGAAUAGACCCUGUAGAGCUCAGUCAUGCUUAGAGAACCACUUCCCUACAUGAUAUUCUGGCAAGAGUAACCAGGAAAAUCAGAAGAUGCUGUUCCAGAUGUCAUAAAGACCACAGUAUAAAAAAAAACCCAACAUAAUCCUGCUUUGAAAAUUCACUGUAAAGAAAGGAAAAGACCGACUGCAUCUCUCUUGUAAUGAAAUCUUGCUUUGAGCCACAGGUCUCUGGGUGUCAAAGUAACUACUGAAGGAGCUUUCCUUUCAUGAAGAGAAAAACUUCAUCUCGGUAUGAAUGAUAUGUAUCCCCUAUUGUAUUGGAGGAUGAGAAAUCUGUGACAAAGCCCAUGCCUUUGGUGGUGCCCUGUCUACUAUGGAUCCCAGGAUAAACCCAGCAGGAGAUUUCAGCUGACCUGCUCACUUUGGCACAUGGACUUCCCUUUGCACGGUGCCAUUGAAGGAGAAAGACAUGCUUUUGGCACUCUUAGUUGCCUCUGAAAGACACCUUCAGCUCACUUCCAAGCUACUUGCUUUCAAUGGCUUUGAUAAGAAUUCCUGGGAGAAUGAAGGAAGCACUUUCUUUUUGGAUACCACCUGAGGACCUUGCCUAUACCUUCUUACUGGUUUAAGAGGAAAGCAUGGGGUAUCCAGAAUUCCCCAUUAUACGUGACAAGCAGAAUUGCUUCUGGAAUUUGUGUCUGUCUGUGUACAGCACUACAAGGCUUCUGUCUGAGAGGAGGAAGGUUCAUGUAGUUUUAAAGUACCCAAAGCAGAGAAGAUAAUAACUGACGUUAGUCCUUGUAGUCUACACAAAAGAGUGAUCAGAAGGCUCUCAUAACCGGAGGAACAGAAGAUGCAGACUCAAGCUCAGUGCUCAGAUUCACAGUAUUUAAGCUUGUAUAACUAGAUACACAAAUGGACCGUGGUAGCAUAUUGCCAUGCUAGACACUGAAGCCCAUAUUCAUAUAUCACUGAAACCCUCAAACCCACUUGCUGAGGUCCUGCUCUAUGGCCCAAGAUGCUGAUAUUUCUGAUGGCUGGCACUCACAUAAUCCUCCAAUCAAUGUACCGCAAAAUAUCUGAUUUGCAAUAAAAGGUUUUCAAAGCAGACUCACAGAAAUUCUCCAGUGUUGGACCUCAUACAAUGCAUAACUGAGGACAAGACAUGCUUAUUCCAGUGUCUACAGCCUUGGGGCUUAGAUGCUUUCCUUGAGGCUAUGAGAAUUCUUUUUACCUCUGCAUGGAGCUUUGUCCAUUUCAUAUCUCAGCUGAACCUAUUAAGUUUUAGGAAAAUUGCAUGCAAGAUCAGAUCCAGUCUAAGAGCUCUAAACAGAUCAUCUCUUGCAAAUACAAUGUUCUGUGAGAAUGCUGGAGCUGAGCAACUUGGGGUAGAGAGUAGGGAGGUCUCUAUCUGGACAUAAGCCCAGAGGACAAGACACUGGAGCAAAUGGCUCCCACUGCCUAUUUUGUCAGCUUCUCUGCUGGCCUUACAUAAAUAUGUUUUCCUAUUCCUGUUCUUGUCUAGCCUAAUCUGAGUGUUUACUCCUACUCUCUUAACCUUUAUUCCUGCCAUUCCCUUUGUCUGUACUUCUCUAUCUACUGUGGUCCUCCAUUUUCUAAUUCAGGUCCUAGUGCUGCAUGUCUAUACAAGACGUCCCAGCAAAAUCAAUGAGGGAAGUCUGAUACUGACGUACAUUUUCACUACACCAUUAGCAGCAAAAUAGGUGUGACUAUUCAUACAAGCUGAACACUUUAACAUUAGAAGUCAAAGGCUUUAUUGUCUUUGCAUGAGGAGUCUUUUCAGGAGAAUUUAGCACCGUUUGAGCUAUCCCUACACAUACCAUUCAUUAACUUCUGACUACUUACUAAACGUUAUUUGUGCAGUGGACCUUAAAGCUAAUAUUUCCGCCCUACUGUAUAUUCCAGUUACACUCAUCACUAUAGAGAACUCUACCUUGCUGGGUACACAGUUUGUUUUUCCAUCUCCUGUCAUUUUAGAUUUGUCAUUUCAAAAACCUCUUUGAAGCUGGAUUUGUGUUAGCUAAUGACACAGAACCUCUCUGCAUACAGCUAGGCAGGAGCAGCAUAUUAGCACAAAGACAGGUUUGUUCUCAGCAGGAGGUUUGUUUGUUGGUUUUGCUUGCAGUGGCAGAAAGGUUUUCCUCCAUUUGCAGGGAUGGCAGUGUUACUUCAGUUUUUUUACUUCAUUUUUUGUCAAGUAAGAGUUCUUGCAGGUGGCAUCCAGACUGACACAACUACAUUAAAUCUACCAAAUUCACAGAAUCAUAAAAUACAAUCAAAGACUCAUUUGAGGUAGAAGAAACCUUUAAAGGCCAUCUAGUCCAACUCUCCUGCAAUGAAUAGAGACACCUAGAGCUCCAUCAGGUGCACAGAGCCCUGUCCAGCCUGACCUUGGAUGUUUCCAAGGGCAUGGCACCCACCACCCCUCUGACCAAGCUGUUCCAGUGCCUCACCACGCUUAUCAUAAAAACAUUUUUCUUACAUUCAGUCUAAAAUUGGUCCUUCAAUGUCUACAUGUGUGUGUACAGUCAUAGAGGGGUUGUUUUAAAGACAAUGAAUUUUAUUUUCUCUUUGAGAUGUUUAUGGGUACUUGUGCCUUGGAUAGGUCUAUUAAAGUGCUGACUGGAAACAUUUAAAUUGGAUGGUGAGGUUAAUUUAAUUUUAAAAUUAGCUGAAGUCCAUUUGCUGAGUUGCUGCUUUUCUUUCUCAAGUAAGCUGUUCUAGUUUCUGAGUUAUUGGUUGAAAUAUGAUUACUGGCACAUCAAACUAGCAACAAUUGCCUUGCUUUUGCCUUUUUCAGCUUUAUGAGGUCUAGUUUAUUAUACACAGACCUUUGAGAAGGCAGAAUAACUGUACUGUAUCCCAACUGCUUUUCUUCUGCAUCGUGGAAAAAGCUAUAAAGGAGCUGGUAUAAAGAUGCUGCAGUAAUUAUUUUCAGGCAGCACCACUGCUGGGAUACGAAAGGAAAGGGAAAAUACAAAUUCACCACAGAAAUCAUAAUUAACAUGUAUCUUAUAAGUUUGGUUUGCACUGAUUGGACAAAUGCAGAUAUGAGUAUAAAAACUUAAGUGAGAAAGGAAGCACUUUGACAUGCUUGAGACAAACUUGAAACUUCUAUCAGCCCGUGUGUGAAUCUAGGGAAGGAGAAUGGGAACACUGCUACCAUAAAAUCAUCUUGUGGGCAGAAAGGAAACACCAAGUUUCUUCUGUCCAGUAUAGUUAAUGUCUGGUGCCCUACUGGGGCAGCAGUGAGACAUCUGUGCCAUGAGCCCCUUGGUGGGAGAACCAGGAUGUCACGUGAAUUGCUCUUCCUCGUUGUGAUAUCCAUUUAGGGUGAUUUUUGUGUUUGCUCAUGUGCUUGUACACUCUGGCCUUCGUUUGUCUGCAGCUCCAUGUUUGAUGUAAUCUUCCUAUACACGGUGCCUUUUAGGUAUGCUAGAUACUAUUUCUUUGAUGUCUCUGUUACUCUUAAAAUAGGCUUGGUCUGGCUCCAGUUCUGCGCGUCUUUAACUCAUCACAGAUGAGACAUUUAUAGCGUUGGGCCAUCUUCUGUCAUCCCAUGCCCACACUCCUCUGCAGGUCCUGCUGUAGUCUCUACGCAGGUGACAGGCCUCUGCUGGGGAGACAGGCUUCUACUUCUCUCUACCAUAGCAUUGACUUACAGUCAGAAAUAGCCCAGCCUACACAGAAUAGCUACUUGUUACUACUCUCCCUAUAAAAACUAGGGUCCUAAAAGAUAAGGAAAACUAAAACAAAUUAUAUGUAGCCACCUGGCUGGAAGAAAAAUUGUUGAACUGAAUUAAAGCAAAGCUCCAGGCAGAUCCUGAAACAUUCAGACAAAGCAAGCGUGACAAGCCUCAAUCCUGAGGUCUGGAGACGUCAGUACAAACCCCGUGGCCAACAGCAAUACAUAUGUUGUAUUACUGGCAAUACAAAUGUUGAAUUACUGGGCUAUUGUGUUAUAGCACUGAGAUGAAAGGAUGCGUAUAAGUGUAUGGGGUCACAGGGGGCAGCUUAGCUUGUGAAAGAAGGAGCUGGAGGACAUCACAAAGUUCUCAGGCAGCAGAGUGGAUUAACCAGCACACUCAGGGCAGAUAUUUGCAUCGGCCUCUUGAACGGAGGUGCCCAAAUCUCUCUCACCGAGUCUUUGAGUGCUACUUUGAUUUGACUCUUGGUGCACUAACAGCAGCUGUUGUGCAGGAGCUGCUGGGUUUAAAAUCAAGUUCAGCAGUUUUUGGCUCCAGGCCAGCAUACAGACUGUGAGAUCUGACGCGGGAAAACAGACAUGAGCUCAAAAACCAAAUCCUGGGAGGGUGUUCUCUCUCUAGCAUUUUGCUCUUCUCUAAAUCUUUAUUUGGAAACUUCUGGAAUUGAAGCAUAUUAAUGCUGUGGAGCUUUAAAGUGAAACCCGAGAUGAUUUUUUAUCACAGGGUACAAAAUGUUCUGAAGGGGCAAAGCAGGAUUUGAGGUGUGAAGAAGCCUGAUUUUUCUCAUAUACAGCUAUUCAUAAAGGGAAUUAAUUGUUGUCCACAUAUGUUUAUCCAUUUAUAUUUAUCCAUUGAAAUGUUGGUAUUUUCUAUGCUAAACAUUUUCAUAGUAAUACAGAUGGCAUUAAAAUACCUCAAAAAACAGAAACAAACAACAACAACAACCAAACAGAAACAGCAACUAGUAAAAAUAUGUUAUGACUUCACUGCACAUGGGAAGGUUAAAAGGCAAUUAUACUUUAUGAAUUUAACAUUUUGUCAGUGGAAAUCUGUCUCUGAUGUUUGCAAAAAUAUCCCAGUUUAAAUGUUUAAAUUUCCAUCAGUGUGGGAUAAUUUCAUUCUUUUCAUUGGCAUCAAGGGACUAUUCAUCCAUAGUGUUUGAUGCAGCUGCUCUGCUCCCCAGAACUAAGGAUAUAUUAUAUGUUGCUUAUUUCUUUGGUCACACUUUUUGUAUUAUAUAGCUUAUUGUCUUGGUGAUCUUUCCAUUAAAAUGGUUAAUGUGAUGAGAGGAAGAAAGAAGGAAAAUCUGUGAGGGUCUUAGCUUCAGAUACAGAUAUAGUUGCUCAAGGCUUAAUAUGAGACUCUGUUCUCCUUCAGUCAAAGCAGCUCAUUUUAUGGUAGCUGUAGACUGACUGAAGUCAUGGUGGGAACAGGUUGUCCAGAGAGCUGGUGGAUACCCUGACCCUGGAGGCACUCACGGUCAGGCUGUACAGCUCUGAUGGAGCUGUAGUUGUCCCUAUUAAUUGCAGGGAAGUUGGACUAGAUGGCCUUUAAGUGUCCCUUCAACUCAAAUGAUUCUAUGACUAUGAUUCUAUGGUUGUUAGGAGCUGUAUGACUGUCUUAAAUGAAAAAGGCAAUGAGAUGCUGCAAAAGUGCUGUUUUUCCACAGUUCCAGUGAGUGAACAUGUUUUGUCAUUUGCAUUCCUUUCAUUUAACAGGGGCAGAUAGAGAUGAGUUAAGAGAGGAAAUCAUCAUUAUGACUCAGCGCCUGUACAGCAGUAGGAGAUUUCAGUUGGAGCACAAAGGCGCAGACUGUUGAAGGAGCAGAUGCAGACAGGGCAAUGGUUCAUGAGCAAAUUGAUGACUUGAUGGUAGCUCAGAAACCAGGAGCAUUGUUCCAGUGGUGAUGUCAAAAUUACAAACUGUGUGUUGUAAUUAAUAAAACCCUUUCCAUCAGAGAGCUGGAUUUAAGGGCUUUGGCACAAGUGCAGUUAGCGUGCAGAAGAUGUAUGUUUCUUUCUCCUAGUGAUGCUAGAACAAAUAGCCCUGAUUUGCACAGUGAGUGGCAGAAAUUAGAAAAGAUAUAUGGGAUUUUAAGCUUAAUUCCUGUCAUUUAGACCUCUGGCUUGUGGUUGAGCAGUGGAGUUAGGAAUGUGAAGUAAAAAUGAAAUUAAAAAUAUCCAGUAGAGAAAUAGGCUGAGAGCACUGUACAGUUCUCUUAGGGAGAUUUGCCUUCUGUUUUACUGUGAUGAAAGAGUACUUUCAUGCUGGUAGUAUGUGAGACCCUUUGUUUCCAUGCUGUAGACAGGAACAAGAGCAGAGUCAUAGUUUGAGCUGAUUGGAGCAUGUUGCUUUGCUGUUUGGGUGCCAUCAUGGUUUGAUGCCAUAUUUCCAAGUAAAACUGCAGGUUCUGGGUAACAAAUUCUGCCAGGAGAAGGUGAAUUUUCUGCAUGAGUGCCAGGUAUUGCUUCAUCUUCACAACUUUCCCUUACCAACUUUCAUUUUAGGAAAAAAAAAGGAACACCUCUCUUAACAUUUAUAUUCACUCCUUGACUUACUACCUUUUUGUUUUCAGACAUGAAGGGGUGAUGGGGCAAAGCAUCCCUCUCUGCAGAUCAUUCCCAAGCUCAGGUGCUGUGAGAUGGGGCAUAGAUUCCCUUGUACCACGUACAGCAAGAGGUAAUGCAACCACCUGAGAGGAGGGACACAAUUGCCAGUUAGCGCUGUCACUGAUUUAGGAAGCGGUUUAUAUCAAUCUUUGCAGACUGACUGAAUCACGGCUGUGGUUUGGUGGCACUUUCCCGGCAUGGGCUGAAAAAGCUGUCACGCUGAAAAUGAUGUGAAUGGUCAUUAGAGAGCUCCUGCUGUCCCCUAGGGAGGUGAGCUAACCAAGGUGCUAUUGCGUCAUUCUCCCCUCAUGAGCUGGAAGGUGACGAAGUUAGGGGAACGUGACCUGUAGCAGUUGUGUUGAAUGUGAAAAGUGUGGCAUGGUGCCUGUUGACUUUAUUUACCUGACUGUUAUCUCUGGACUUCCCUCCAACUAUACAUUGUUUAAGAGGAAUUUCUCUAGAGAUUACAGAGGUAAGACAUCUGUCUUAACACAAGGUUUAUUACUUUUCUUAGUGUUCUUUCCAUGUUUUUGAUGUGAAUUGACAGAGGAAUUAAGCAGCAAGAAUUAAAUGACAGAAACAUUUUACGUUGGAUGUCAGAAGAUAUCUCUUCCCAGCAUGACUGUUGUGUGCUCUGCUCAGUACAGACUUCCUCUGAUCACUGGCACGUUGAAGAAGUCCCUCCUCCAAGAUUUCUGUAAUAAUGUGAAGAUGAAAGACAGAAAUCAAGACUAUGUGAAAUGUUGAUUGGGGGUCUGAAUUUAACUGGCAAAAGAGAUUAGUUCCUGAAAAUUACAUUAGCAGUGGCUUGAAAACCUAUUCAAAUAAAAAAAAUGAGUAAGGAACUCUGGAUUACAGUCAUACUUGUAUUUUUGAAAGACAAAGAGGGAACCAGAAAUGCUAUAUUGUUAAGCUUCAUAUUAAGCAAUGCCUAACAUCAGUUGGAUUAAAAUUAAGGAUAAAAAAAUAGCAUUUGGCUAAGUCCAAUAGUAAAUAUUCCUUUGCUUGAAACUAGAUGAUCAUUGUAGUCCUUUUCAACCCAGGCCAUUCUAUGAUAUGAUUCAAAGAAAGGCUUCACACCUAACCUUCCUGGCCUUUGCACUGACUAUUCAAGCUCUGCCAGUAGCACCUGUCCUUUUUUCCCACUUCUCAUUUUCUUCCACUUGUCUCUUUAUGUUCUUCUGAAACAAAGCAAUCUUAUAGAACCCCAGCACCCUUUAUCCCUUCUUCUGCCCAAACGUCCCCAGGGUGUAAAUUCCAAGAGAUAUUGGUUGCCAGGUAUUCAAGGAUGACUGCCACACAUUGUUUCUUUCUUUCUGGGUUACCAUUUUCAUUCUGGCUCUGCUAUAAGGUAUCUGUUUUGUUCUCUCUUGCCCGAUUUUAGCUGUGUAUUCUCAGUCUGAACCUCUUAAAUAUUUUCAAUCUGUACUGUACGUCUAAAUCUUAAUGAAAUAUACAGAAUUGCUAUAUUUUAUACUUCAGAGCUAUACCCAUAAUAAUAAGAAAAAAAUUCUUUAUUUUUCUUCAGCAAAACUGAUGAACUAUAAAUGGUUUGCUUUUUGGCUUAUAUUUGUUAAAAUUUGGCAAGACAUCUGCAUCAUGAAAAUUUAGAGACUGAAAAUCAAAUAACAUAUUGGGGAUUCUUCCUCUCUUGCUCCGGUACAUACAUCCUCUGUUAUCACUCUGUCCUUCACCAGAAAGUGAAUCUAUUCAUAAUUAUAAUAUUUUUUAACACUUUGACACGCUAAAUUACCUCCACAACACAACUCUCCCAGAUAGAACAGAAGCUUAUGCUAUAUGUCAGCUCUACAUCUUGUUUCACAGCUCAGGUGUGUAACUGUUGGCAGCUGCAUGUAUAUGGAUAUGACAGCGAGUGUUUUAUACCAGAUUCCCAUUUAAGGCCUCAACCAAAACCUACUGCAGCCAAGAAACACAUAUACAGAUUAUAUAGAAUCAUAGAAUGCUUUAGGUGCCUUCCAACCCAAACCAUUCUAUGAUUCUGGGAUUCUAUGACUUCAAUGGGACUGAUUCAACUGAAGUUGAAUCUUAAGGCACUUAAGUUUUUUUUUCCAUCAGCCCUUGCCAUUUUUAAUUUUCUACUUCUGCACAAAUUACGUGUCUACUGCCUUGACAGCAUUCUUGAUAUACUUGGAAUACCUAUGGAAAAUGAUAAUGUCAGCAAUACAGCAAUUAAACUGUUUUUUUGUUUGUUUGUUUUGUUUUGUUUUCUGGAUGAGAGCAUAUGUCAUUAAAUUCUCAUUUCAAAUUGUAACCCAACAGGAGUUUGUAAAUUAACCCAGCUUCUAUAAAGCAACACAAGACUAUUCUUUGAAUAAAAAUUACAUUUCACUGAAUUUAUUUUCUCUGUCUGUGAGAAAAAACACAUGAUUAAAAAGCCAUUUGAAGUGCUUGGUGCUAGUCACUCUGACGUAGUUUACCUUGGUAGUAGCAGCCUCGGUCAGUUUCCCAUGCUGUGUAACUCAGGUGACAGACAUCCUACUUUAAUAAACCUGGAUAAUUUUUCUUUCCGUGAUAAACUCAGCAGAACUUGGCACAGUGUGAUGCUUUGGAUAUGGAAGACUUAAAUUCAUGGAGUUUUUAAAUGCACUCCUCACUGUAAAACACCUACUUCUAUGUCAUAGUAAAAUGCCUCAGUGUAGGGUUUUUUCCCUCCUUUUUUUUUUCCUUUUUUUUUUCAGUGAUAUUAAAAUGCAUUUUUUUUUUUUCUAAAGAUCUGAAUUCAGGGAAGUCUGAUACUGUAUCUUCCGUGCUUUCAAUUCUAACCAUAUUUUUUUAUUGAUCACAGCUGGGCUGUUGCAUCCUUUGAAGCAAAAUUCACCUCACCUCACAGCAUUUCUGCCCGUUGUCUUGCCCAAGAGCACAUUUGUUGCACAGCUAACUUAUACAACAACCAUUUUUUA
ensembl:lncRNA